rnacentral:rRNA from 1 species
GGUUGGAUCCUGCCGGACCUGACUGCUAUCGGAGUGGGAUUAAGCCAUGCAAGUUGAACGUCCUCCGACUGCGGAGGGCGUGGCAGACGGCUCAGUAACACGUUGCCAACCUAACCUGAGGACGCGGAUAACCCCGGGAAACUGGGACUAAUCCGUGACAGAUCAGGAUGCCUGGAACGGUUUUUGAUCGAAAGGGGUGGGCGAGCUUGUUUUGCUCAUCUGCCUCAGGAUGGGGCUGCGGCCGAUCAGGUUGUUGGCGGGGUAAUGGCCCACCAAGCUUGUAACCGGUACGGGCUUUGAGAGAAGUAGCCCGGAGAUGGACACUGAGACAACGGUCCAGGCCCUACGGGGCGCAGCAGGCGCGAAACCUUCGCAAUGCGCGAAAGCGCGACGAGGCUACUCCGAGUGCCGCCCGCUGAGGGUGGCUUUUACCAGGUGUAAACAGCCUGGGGAAUAAGGGGAGGGCAAGUCUGGUGUCAGCCGCCGCGGUAAUACCAGCUCCUCGAGUGGUCAGGGCGUUUAUUGGGCCUAAAGCAUCCGUAGCCGGCUUUGUAGGUCUCUUGUUAAAUCCAACGGCUCAACCGUUGGGCUGCAGGGGAUACCGCAGGGCUAGGAGGCGGGAGAGGCGGACGGUAUUCCGCGGGUAGGGGCAAAAUCCUCUGAUCCGCGGAGGACCACCAGUGGCGAAGGCGGUCCGCCAGAACGCGCUCGACGGUGAGGGAUGAAAGCUGGGGGAGCAAACCGGAUUAGAUACCCGGGUAGUCCCAGCUGUAAACGAUGCGCGUUAGGUGUAUCGGUGACUACGAGUUACCGAGGUGCCGAAGAGAAAUCGUGAAACGUGCCGCCUGGGAAGUACGGUCGCAAGGCUGAAACUUAAAGGAAUUGGCGGGGGAGCACCACAAUGGGUGGAGCCUGCGGUUUAAUUGGAUUCAACGCCGGG